UUUCCUGGGUCUUGUAUGGGCGGGGGCCUUAUGAAUGUACCAUCCAAGUAGAAAAGAUGGGCUCACCACAUGAACGCAGCUUCCAGACACCUCCAGCUGUGUCUCCCCAGGACCCUUCCAUGGAGGUCUGACAGCCCUGGCCCAGGCAGAACACGGCCUCAGCGUGCUCCUGUGGACCCUGGUGGGAGCCCCAGGAGCCGCGGUGAUGGGGUGAGUCGGGCCAACUUCUUGGCUGUUGCCUGUGGCCCAUCAACGCCUGCGGGUGGACGCCCUUCAGGGCCAGAGCAGGCGCCUCAGCGUGCAGACACUGUCUGGCUCUCUUUCUGCGUUUUCUUCAUCUGGAUUCUGUUGGGACAACAAUCAAGGCUGUCUCGUUCUGUCUGUGGAAUGGGCCUCACCUAGCAAGAAGCCCCAGGGGCCCCCAGGGCUGGGUUACCGGCAGAGAGAAGCCACUGCGACCUUUGCCCUCCCUAAAUCCAGAGGUAUUUGGCCCAGAAGCUCCUCCCUGAGUCCUUGCUGGAGCAUUUGUCUUCAAACGGAGGAGGAGAACCAAUGGAGUCUCAUUCUGCGGCUCACUGCAACCUCCACCUCCCGG
rnacentral:lncRNA from 1 species